GUGAGGAAUAUUGGUCAAUGGGCGGGAGCCUGAACCAGCCAAGUCGCGUGAAGGAAGAAGGAUCUAUGGUUCGUAAACUUCUUUUGCAGGGGAAUAAAGUGCAGGACGUGUCCUGUUUUGUAUGUACCCUGAGAAUAAGGAUCGGCUAACUCCGUGCCAGCAGCCGCGGUAAUACGGAGGAUCCGAGCGUUAUCCGGCUUUAUUGGGUUUAAAGGGUGCGUAGGUGGUUUGAUAAGUCAGCGGUGAAAGUUUGCAGCUUAACUGUAAAAAUGCCGUUGAAACUGUCGGACUUGAGUGUAAAUGAGGUAGGCGGAAUGCGUGGUGUAGCGGUGAAAUGCAUAGAUAUCACGCAGAACUCCGAUUGCGAAGGCAGCUUACUAAGCUACAACUGACACUGAAGCACGAAAGCGUGGGGAUCAAACAGGAUUAGAUACCCCGGUAGUCC
rnacentral:rRNA from 1 species